rnacentral:rRNA from 1 species
GCUUAGAGAGGGGUCAAUGUCCUAUCAGCUAGUUGGUAGGGUAAUGGCCUACCAAGGCUAAGACGGGUAGCCGGCCUGAGAGGGUGGUCGGCCACACUGGGACUGAGACACUGCCCAGACUCCUACGGGAGGCUGCAGUCGAGAAUCUUUCGCAAUGCCCGAAAGGGUGACGAAGCGACGCCGCGUGUGGGAAGAAGGCCCUCGGGUUGUAAACCACUGUCGGGAGUUAAGAAAUGCAAGGGUGUUAAUAGCAUCCUUGCUUGACUAAGGCUCCGGAGGAAGCCACGGCUAACUCUGUGCCAGCAGCCGCGGUAAUACAGAGGCGGCAAGCGUUGUUCGGAAUUAUUGGGCGUAAAGAGCACGUAGGCGGCUUUGUAAGUCAGUUGUGAA